rnacentral:tmRNA from 2 species
GUCCUUGCGCCGCCUGCCCCCGGUCCCUAUAUUCAGUCUUGUCAGGGGCAACCCUGACUAUGGCGAUAAACGCACCUGUAAUAAUCGGCUCGGACCCGGGGGCGGUACCCGGCGGCUCCACCAGACCUUCCCGUUCAUUGCGGGCGUGUGGGGCCGAAAUAGGAUCGACGAACGACCAAAGAGGCCAGCUUUUGCUCGGUGAGGUACCACCGUUAUCGGUCCGCAAGUACAGUUGCCAAUGACAACCGUGCUCCGAUGGCUCUGGCUGCGUAAGCAGUUCGAUCUGUCGAAACUUAAGCCCCUGCGCUUAGCCGCGUAGGGCGGGGUUCGCAGGUACCUGGCAACAGAAACCUGCACC